UGAUGACGAGACGCUAAGGCGUUGAAGCAGUGUAUGUCAGACUUCCAAGGAAAGCUCGCAAUGUCACAAACAAAGAAUGCCUGUACCAUAACCGACACAGGUGGGUAGGUAGAGUAUACUAAGGGGCGCGAGAUAACUCUCUCUAAGGAACUCGGCAAAAUGACUCCGUAACUUCGGGAGAAGGAGUGCCUUAUUUAUAAGGUUGCAAUAACAAGAUCCAAGCAACUGUUUAUCAAAAACACAGGUCUCCGCUAAGUCGUAAGACGAUGUAUGGGGGCUGACGCCUGCCCAGUGCCAGAAGGUUAAAGAAGUUGGUUAGUGUAUGCGAAGCUGAUGACUGAAGCCCUGGUGAACGGCGGCCGUAACCAUAACGGUCCUAAGGUAGCGAAAUUCCUUGUCGGGUAAGUUCCGACCCGCACGAAAGGCGUAAUGAUUUGGAUACUGUCUCGGAGAGAGGCUCGGUGAAAUAGACUUGUCUGUGAAGAUGCGGACUACCUGCACCAGGACAGAAAGACCCUAUGAAGCUUUACUGUAACUUGAAAUUGGAAUUGGACUUUGCUUGCGCAGUAUAGGUGGGAAGCGUUGAAAAUAUUCUUGCGGGAGUAUUGGAGCUAUCAGUGAGAUACCACUCUUGUAAUGUUAGAUUUCUAACUUUGAACCAUAAUCUGGUCAAAGAACAGUUUCAGGUGGGCAGUUUGACUGGGGCGGUCGCCUCCCAAAUGGUAACGGAGGCGUACAAAGGUUUCCUCUGAACGGAUAGAAAUCGUAUCUAGAGUGUAAAGGCAUAAGGAAGCUUGACUGUGAGACCUACAAGUCGAGCAGGGACGAAAGUCGGUCUUAGUGAUCUGACGGUGCUGAGUGGAAAGGCCGUCACUCAACGGAUAAAAGUUACUCUAGGAUAACAGGCUGAUCUCCCCCAAGAGUUCACAUCGACGGGGAGGUUUGGCACCUCGAUGUCGGCUCAUCGCAUCCUGGGGCGGUAGUACGUCCCAAGGGUUGGGCUGUUCGCCCAAAAGCGGUACGCGAGCUGGGUUCAGAACGUCGUGAGACAGUUCGGUCCAUAUCCGGUGUAGGCGCUAGAAUAUUGAGAGGAGCCUUCUUUAGUACGAGAGGACCGAGAAGGACACACCGCUGGUGUACCAGUUAUCGUGCCAACGGUAAACGCUGGGUAGCUAUGUGUGGAGUGGAUAACCGCUGAAAGCAUCUAAGUGGGAAGCCCACCUCGAGAUGAGUAUUCUU
rnacentral:rRNA from 1 species